ensembl:lncRNA
CGGGAGGGCAAGGGGGGGGCGCUGACGAGGCGAGGAGGCCGCGGCGGCCCGGCGGUCCGUGAGGGCAGGGGCCGGCGGUGGCGGCGCGGCGGAGGGGGCACUCCGGAGACGGAGUCGAAACUUGUCGGCGGCGGGAGGCGGAUGCGCGGCGGCGGCGGCGGAUGGAAGGGGUGGGGGGGCCGGGCCGGCGUGUCCGGGUGUCCGGAGCACACGCACUGCGCACACAGCUCCGACGGCGGCCGGGGGACAAGGGGGAGGCCGCCGCCCCGGCCGCGCACUAUAUAUACCCGCCCCGCCCCCAGCCGCCCCCACCGCGCCGCACGCCACGCACCGACCGCGCGCACCGCGCAGGCGCCGCCGCGGGGGAAGGCGGGGAGACGCGCGGCGCCGGCGCCCGGCCGAGUGGACGGCAGCGCUGGCGCAUGCGCCGCGGCGGCCGGGGGAAGCGGCCGGGAGGGAGCGCGCCUGCGCCUGCCGACGUCACCGGGGGCGGGGGGGGUUCGGCGCCAGGGCGCGUGCGCCUACGUGCGAGCACAUGUGCGCGGCGGGCGGGGGGAGCGGGCCGGGUCAAAGGGCGCGUGCGCGCUGAGCGGCUCAGCGGCCCAGCGGGGCCGGGCGGGAGGGAGGCGGCCGGGCGGGCGUUAGCGGCCGCGCGCGUGCGCCCCGCCCCGCCCCUACCCGCGCGGGGAGCGCGUGCGGGUGCGGUGCGCCGGUGCAGUGCGCCGCCGCCGCCAGUGGCGCGGGCGGGCGAGGAAGGUCGCGUGCCGGCCGGAAAGGGACGGGCCCGCCGGCCCCGCGGCGCACGCGCCGUAGGGCCGCUUCCGCUGGGGGUGGGGGUGUCGUGAGGGCGCGCCGCUCUGGGGCGGUGCCGCGGCGCGGCGGGGCCUGGCCGGGCUGGGCCGGGCUGCCCCUCCCCGGUCCGAGUGAAGGCUUGGGGCACGGGUUAACCGGCGUCCUCCCUCCCUGCGGCGACCUAUCGGUGCCUUUCGGGGACCCGGCGGUGCUUCCCAGCGCCUUGCCUCUGCUGGGGCCGGGGGUCGGUCCUGGGGGCCUCAGCCAUUAACAUUACCGAGAGGUUUCUGCCGCCGGUGCACGGCUUCGGGCCUCGUUCGGGUGUGUUUUUUUACAGGUUCUUUCUAGGGCUGAUUUGGGCGCUGGGUAGCAUCACCUCACGGGCUCGAUGUGCUUGCACCGGUAUUCAAAGGCUUUGCAAGCCUGCCUGCUGGCUCAUGAGGGGGGCGGCGGUGCCUUUCGUUAACCCCCUGAGCUGUGCAAACCCAGACUGCACCUUUUUCGGUAUCGUGGAUUUUGCUCAAGAAGCAACAAAAGGCUGGAGGAAAAUUUGAAGCUGCAUCUCUGGGAGCAGGGUUGUCAAUAGACUGGCCAAGUUGGGUUUAGUGGAAACAGCAUUUCAAGCUCCGCUCAGUUUGUUCCUUAAGCUUAAUGUAUUUUGUUGCCAUAUUUUGCUUUAAAAUGUUAUUAAAGUUUUGGUUGUAGAUCAAACAGUGUUGGGAAUUAGCUGGCUAUCUUUUUGUAGUUUUAAUGUGUGUGAAGGCAUCUGCCAUUAUUCUA